UCACGCAGGGUGGAAACUUUCAUUUGCACCAGUUUAAAAAAGACUGUUGUGGGGGGGGGGGGGUACCAGCUCUCCAGAGCACCAGCACAGGAGCUGUCCGAGCCUCAGUCAGCACCAUACGGCGGGCUAAUCCAAUCAAGGGCCCAAGGGGGGCCCCGUGUCUCACUGCCCGGCAGAUACUCGGCAGAGAGAUGACAAACAAACAGCCGUGAGGAGAACAGGGUUGCAGCUGACAAGCCAUGGUGUCCAGAGACCACCCACACCAACUCCACGCUCAGAAGCAGGGGUGGGAGAAGAACUUCUAGUAUGAUUCAUUAAAACAGUCUUUUUCAGACUGAUCCCUGGGACCCCCAGAUGGUCCACAUUUUUACUCCUACCCCCGCUCCAAAAAAUGUGGACCGUCUGGCAGGGAGCAAAAACGUGGACCGUCUGGCAGGGAGCAAAAACGUGGACCGUCUGGCAGGGAGCAAAAACGUGGACCAUCUGGCAGGGAGCAAAAAUAUGGACCGUCUCGGCGUCCCCAAGAACCAGAGCAACCUUCUUUCGUCAGCCGGAAGACCUGCGAGAGGCUUGCGGGGGGUUCGUUGCUGGAUGCCAAGCAACCUUGACGAUGACAUCACCCAGCCCUGUCAGAGAUGCUCUUCUUACAGGAGCAAGACCAAUCUGAUGCCAGGAGAGAUGUAAUCUUCAUAGCCUCCAAAAAUGCCUGCACCCGUGAGACAAGCUGCGGCAACACAAGGCUUACUGUCUGCAGUCAGUUUGAGCAAGAGCUGUGUCACCUUGUCACAUUGAUUUACCGACUUGAAAUCUCCAGGGUUUUAGCAUAUCAAGGAAUAAUCAAACUACUAAAAGAACUACUUGAGUAACUUCUUUCAGAAUCACACCUCAUAUACAUCCUUAUGAUACGUUUGGAUAGGAUCUGGCUGCUAUUUAAAACGACUGCAAAAGCACAGGCUUUGCUUAUGGUCACAUUCAGAUCUGUAAACCAAAACAGCAGGGGUUGUCUGUGUGUCCUACCUGACGAACUCUGUAUGGCUGCUUCCCUAAACAUGAUAAAUCCUCUCAGCUCACAAAUCACUUCUUCCCCAGACGCCCUAACCAACGAAAGGGGAUGUCACCUGAUCAAGAGAUUUAAUGUCUUGAUCCAAGGCUCCUGAACCCAUGCCAUUCUAAUCUGUGAAUCGUCCUUGAAAAACAUUAUACAAGCCCAAUAAAUUCCACACAUGGUGUCUUUCCACUCUCUUAAAGGGUGUAUGUACAUCACAACAACCUUUUCAUUUUGUACCAAAAAAAAGUUUGAUUGUUUAAGUUAAAUUUGUAUAUUUUUACAAAUUAUCUACUGAAUCUUUUUUGAAAACAGUACAACUUAAAAACGAAGUGUGAAUAUGCUUCCAAAAAUUAUAUACUAUAUAUUAAAUUUGAUGUGGAUUUGAAAAGUCCAUAAUACUAUAAUGAAUGGCAGACAUGAAAAAGCAGGAGCAGAGCAAAAAAGGGCUUUAUGAGUUGACACUGAAUCAAAAAAACAGCUGCCAGAAAUUGAACACAUGUGGAUUUAUGUUUUAAUGCUCAGAUAUUUGCGGAUUUAUAAAUCACAAAGGCCUUUAUUUAGUUCAAUAUAUUUUAAUAAGAUGGAACCAUGUAUGAUCUGAGAAUUCUGGAGGAGUGCAGUCUAUAUGUUCAAUAUUGCAAUAUAAGAGGCGUGCGUUGAUUCCAGCUUUCUGGGACGUUACCCAAAAUGACAGGAGGGCAGGCCGCUUUGUGACGGAUUUAGGAUUUCUUUCUCUCUAUUGCAACACACGGACGACCCAGUGGCUCCAGAUGAGAAGCAGUCAUGCUCUCAGCACCUGGUGGGCCAGAAGGCAGGAGGCCAGAUCUGAUACAUGUCAGCAAACUCUCCCCAAUGAAUCACAUGACCCCGGGGCUUUUGACAGAAACACAAACAUAUGACAUCAUUAUUCUUUAGUGAAGAGCAGUGGAAAAAUGGAAGGACCUUUCUCCAGAUAAUUCCAAAAUAAAUGGAUGUGUGGUGUAAAUUUGUCUGUCUCUGGAGUUUGUAACGCAUAAGGAACAUUCUGUGCCAAAGGUUGUACAGUUUCCGUUGUCAUUUUGACUUAAGUAUGGUUUUCAUUUGUUUAAUUUGUCUACAUAAUGGAGUAAACUUUCACCAAUCCAUGUAAAUGAAGGAUCAAAACUGUAAGCUGUGGCUUUGAGCAAAUUUGCGGGUCUCUGGAGGUUCUUGCAAAACACACUGGCAUAAUCAAGCUUUAAAUGGGGCUAUUACUAUAAGCCUUGUGAGGAGAGAGCCCCUGCACAGUGGAACAGAAUGCCCCUGGAGACAUCCCACCACAGCCGCCACAUAUGGGUCCAAUCAGGGUCCCCAUCCUAUAUCAGUUACAUCAUCCUACCAUGGGGGGAGGGAGCUAAAGGAAGACGCACAUUACACGCUCAUAGGAAGUUUACUCACAGGAAAAUGUUCUGAGGGCAGAACGAAAAAUGAUUGGUUCAGAGAGAUAACCAAUCACAUUUUAGAGGAGGCGGGAUCAACCAAUCAGAUGUC